rnacentral:rRNA from 1 species
AUGACAAGACCAAAAAGAGAUGGUGGUAUCGGUUUUCGGGAUAUGCACUCCUUUAACCAAGCACUGCUAGCAAGACAGGGGUGGAGAUUGGUACAAAACCCCAACAGUAUAUGUGCACGGGUUCUAAAAUCUAAAUACUACCCAAAUGGUGAGCUUCUGAAUACCGUGUUCUCCUCUGAUGCUUCCCCCACGUGGCGUUGUAUUGAGUUUGGGCUUGAGCUCCUAAAACAAGGUCUGAUUUGGAGAGUUGGCAGCGGUAGGAAAAUUCAAAUAGAAAGAGAUCAAUGGAUUCCAAGAAAGGAAGGCCUUAAAACUGCAAGUUUUAUUAGCCGGUCCAGAUUGAGAUGGGUUAAUCAGCUUAUGAUCCCGGGCACGAAGGAAUGGAAUGUUGAGCUUAUCUGGAAAAUAUUGCAUACCUUUGACGCUGUUGAAAUAUGCAAAAUUCGGAUUUCAUAUAUGUGGGAUGGAAAGUGA